rnacentral:lncRNA from 1 species
GCAAUUAAGAUGUAUGGAUCAACUGUCCGGUCCUGGUCACUUUAAUAAAACAUCCCUGCCUGGAGGGUGACAACGAAAAAAAAAAAUAUGUACGCAGUCAGAAAUUCAGAAUCCUGUUACAGUCUCAGUCUGACAGGCCUAGACUUGGAAGUUAGAAGUUAGCACGCUAGGCCGUGGCGUAUAUUCCUUCCUGACACUUGUCCUAAGGGGGGAAAAGUUCCAUGCCAUUGCCGUUUUCGACUCUGGCAUGGUGUUCUAGAAGGCGGUUCUUGUCUUAUGAUUCCAUGCGAUAAUUCAUUUCGCGUCUCGAGUGGGUGAAGCUGGGAAAUUGGAAGGGUGCCUUUGCGUAAUCAAAUGGUUUGUUUGCGUGGUGCUUGCACAUCGAUCAAUGCGAGAUAAUGUAACUUAUCAUGUAGCGACUCUACUCCGUAGAGAAUACGGCUCUAUGCAGGAACAAGUCAGUCUCAUUGGUCGGGUUGCCACUGCAUUUCACAUGCUUGCAUCGAUGUAAUCCGAAGAACCGCAGCAAGAGGCAAAUGCAUUCGAUGCAUGCGCGCAUCUCCGACUGAACUCAUAUGCGGACAUACAUACGUACGAUAAGCAAAGUCCAAUGCAAGGGCAGGAACUGUGAUGUCAAUUUUGAUUCGAUAUCACAAUCGAGUCCUGUUGUGCUCUCCAAGGAAAAACGAAAAGCAGAAAAAGAAACAGCGAAAAAAACAAAAACAAAAAAAAAAAAAAAAAUCUUAUCGAUUACGAAUGAUAACGGAUUGUUGCGGUGAUAAGAAGUGAUAGGUCCGUCAAUGGCUCCUAUCAUAGUGACAGCUGCAUAUUCAUUGAUUUCCGUCAACAAGCGUGGGGUCGGCAUGAACGAUAGGACAGGCCAGAUAAUCAGAUUCGGAGACCGGGCAGUUAAAGGCCUAAAGAUAGAUUAAUGAUUAUUAUUUGAUGUCAGUAUUGAUAAGUUAAGUUACCAGUCACAGCACCAUUCUUUUUCCAGAGUACGGCGAUUAAGUAACUAUCGGUGUAGACAAAAAUAAAUCUUAGCAAACCUGACGCGUACGAAGCGCAUACAAAGUGACUGUAAUCUCAAGAACAAAAAAGAAAGAGUCACUAGUUAGUCAUCGAAUAAUCUCAAACACACAACGAUCGACUCCAUUCGGAGCUCCGUACCGAUGAACCCGCUGAUUCGACGCCGUUGGUUCUGGCUGGCGCACUCCGUACUCUAUCGACGCCUGGGACAUACGGGUCACGACCGGCGUCUCGUCUCGGAUCUGAAGAAUCAAUUGCCAAAAGAGAAAAGGCCAUUAGUCCAAAACAAGAAUUGGAUCUCACCAACUCGAACCAAAUCCUCGUAUAUAUACUCUGUACGAUCGCUUGUACGGAUACGUACAAGAAUGGGACUCAAUGGGGUUAGGGCAUGAAGCGGACCAGCCCGCGACGGCUUCAAAGAAGGUUUAGCCUGGACAAGUGCUAUCAUUGCUAUGUUUAUCUGCCAAGUUGCCAACGUUGGCUGCGACGAAAUGCUAGUCUUGGCACUAGCGGGUUUACUGGGACUGACUAGUGAGUAUUUAUUUUUCA